ensembl:lncRNA
GAAAAUGCAUUAUUUUUGUUUAAAUGGGGUAUUUUGGAAGGGAAAAUGUGUGAUUUUUGGGUUAAAUGGGGGAUUUUUCAAGAGAAAAUGUGUGAUUUUCAGUUAAAUCGCGGAUUCUCAAUGAGAAAAUGCCUGAUGUUUGCAUUAAAUGUGUGAUUUUCGUAGAGAUAAUGCGUGAUUUUCAGGUUACAUGGGAGAUUUUUGAAGAGAAAAUGCGUGAUUUUCGGUUAAUUGGGUGAUUUCUGCAAAGAAAAUGCAUCAUUUUUGGGUUAAAUUGUGUAUUUUUGCAGAGAGAAUGCUUGAUUUUCAUUUAAAUGAGGGAUUUCUUGCAGAGACAAUGCUUGAUUUUUGUUUAAAUGAGGGAUUUUGGCAGAGAACAUGCGUGAUUUUGGGGUUAAACGGGGGAUUUCUGCAAAGAAAAUGCAUCAUUCUUGGGUUAAAUUGUGUAUUUUUGCAGAGAGAAUGCUUGAUUUUCAUUUAAAUGAGGGAUUUCUUGCAGAGACAAUGCUUGAUUUUUGUUUAAAUGUGGGAUUUUGGCAGAGAACAUGCGUGAUUUUGGGGUUAAACAGGGGAUUUCUGCAAAGAAAAAAAAUCAUGAUUCUCAGGUAAAAUUCGGUGUAGUUGAAGGGAAAAUGCAUGAUUUUCGGGUUAAAUGGGGGAUUUCGGAAGAGAAAAUGCGUGUUGUUUGAGAUAAACGGGGGAUUUUUGUAGAGCGAAUGCAUGAUUUUCACGUUAAAUGGGGGAUUUUCCAAGAGAAAAUGUGUAAUUUCCAGGUUAAAUGGGGGGUUUUGGAAGAGAAAAUGUGUGACUUUUGGUUAAAUGGGGGGUUUUCCAGAGAAAAUGCAUGACUUUCUGUUAAAUGGAGGAUUUUUGUGGUAAAAAUGCGUGGUUUCCAGGUUAAAGCAGGGAUUUUCGAUGAGAAAAUACAUGAUUUGGGGGUUAAUUUUUUUUUUUUUU